UGCGCAGGCGGACCUGUCAGUCAGUGGUGAAAUCCCGGGGCUCAACUCCGGAACUGCCAUUGAUACUGCUGGUCUUGAAUACGGUUGAGGUAGGCGGAAUGUAGCAUGUAGCGGUGAAAUGCAUAGAUAUGCUACAGAACACCGAUCGCGAAGGCAGCUUACCAAGCCGAUAUUGACGCUCAGGCACGAAAGCGUGGGGAGCGAACAGGAUUAGAUACCCUGGUAGUCC
rnacentral:rRNA from 1 species